rnacentral:rRNA from 1 species
UGUACUGCGGUAUGACAGAACUGUGGGGACACGUAAGGAAAGCGGAAGCCGGGAAUGGAAAGCCCGGUGCAAGCGGGGUACCAGUCACUUUGGCAAAUCCGGGUGGCAAUGGGAAGCCGUGAUGCGGAGCGAAAUAAAGUAGUGAAGUCCGUGAGCCAUGCGUCAAGAAAAGCCGCUAUUGUUUAUACCGUACCCGUACCGUAAACCGACACAGGUGGAUGAGGAGAGAAUCCUAAGGCCGGCGGAAGAAGCAUUGUCAAGGAACUCGGCAAAAUGGCCCCGUAACUUAGGGAUAAGGGGUGCCUGGGAAACCAGGCCGCAGAGAAUAGGCUCAAGCAACUGUUUAGCAAAAACACAGGUCUAUGCGAAACCGAAAGGUGAGGUAUAUGGGCUGACGCCUGCCCGGUGCUGGAAGGUUAAGAGGAGAGGUUAGCGGUAACGCGAAGCUUUGAAUUUAAGCCCCAGUAAACGGCGGCCGUAACGAUAACGGUCCUAAGGUAGCGAAAUUCCUUGUCGGGUAAGUUCCGACCCGCACGAAAGGCGUAAUGAUUUGAGCGCUGUCUCGACAAUGCAUCCGGUGAAAUUGAAGUACCAGUGAAGAUGCUGGUUACCUGCGCCAGGACGGAAAGACCCCAUGGAGCUUUACUCCAGUCUGGUACUGGGACUCGGUAUUGCAUGUACAGGAUAGGUGGGAGGCUAGGAGAUGGUAACGCCAGUUGCCAUGGAGCCGCUGUUGGGAUACCACCCUUGCAGUAUUGGGUUUCUAACCAGCCGCCGUGACCCGGCGGUGGGACAAUGCCAGACGGGGAGUUUGACUGGGGCGGUCGCCUCCGAAAGGGUAUCGGAGGCGCCCAAAGGUUCCCUCAGAAUGGACGGAAACCAUUCGAAGAGUGCAAAGGCAGAAGGGAGCUUGACUGCGACACCGACGGGUGGAGCAGGUACGAAAGUAGGGCUUAGUGAUCCGGUGGUAUUAAGUGGGAAUGCCAUCGCUCAACGGAUAAAAGCUACCCUGGGAUAACAGGCUUAUCACUCCCAAGAGUUCACAUCGACGGAGUGGUUUGGCACCUCGAUGUCGGCUCAUCGCAUCCUGGGGCUGUAGUAGGUCCCAAGGGUUGGGCUGUUCGCCCAUUAAAGCGGUACGCGAGCUGGGUUCAGAACGUCGUGAGACAGUUCGGUCCCUAUCCGGCGUGGGCGUAGGAUAUCUGAGAGGAGCUGUCCUUAGUACGAGAGGACCGGGAUGGACGGGCCGCUGGUGCAUCGGUUAGACUGCCAAGUCUACGGCCGAGUAGCCAAGCCCGGAAGGGAUAAACGCUGAAGGCAUCUAAGCGUGAAGCCCCCCUUAAGAUGAGAUAUCCCAUUCGAAAGAAGUAAACCCCCUUGAAGACGACGAGGUAGAUAGGGCAGAGGUGGAAGUGCAGCAAUGCAUGGAGCUGACUGUUACUAAUCGGGUGAGGGCUUGAC